rnacentral:Y_RNA from 1 species
GGCUUAUCCAAGUCCAGUAAUGCUUACAACUAAUUUAUCACAACCAGUUACAGAUUUUUGUGCUUUUUUUAUCUCUGCUGUCACUGAUUCACUUGACUAGUAAAA